AUGAGAAACUCUCCAGGCAGCUGGGCAGAAGAUAGAACUACCCCAACGUUAGUUUCCAGAGUCCUCUGCUGCUGGGCAAGGCACUUUUCCUCCCAGUGCCGGCUGGCAGCCCGGCCCUGCAGCUUGGCUGCCUCCCCUUCCACUGGGAAGGUUAAAAAAAGAAAACUCCAAACCUCAAACCGACCAAAAAAUCCCUCCUUGAAACUAAACCCAAUUUCCGACUCCCCUUUGAAAAGGAAGUGCCUUUCUUCCCAUGCAGCUCUAACAAUGACCCUCUUUGCUGUCUGAAAAGUUAAGCUGCUCUGCUCUGAUGUCUCAUUGAGUCCCUGCAGAUUUUAAGUAGCUUGAUGUAUAUGGCUCUCUGCCAUUCCCUUGCCAGGGAUAUUUUUAAAUAGCCGUUGUUUUGGUGGCAGGCAUGAAAAGCCAAGUUCUCUCUAUUGCUGGCCGUGCAAAUCCUGCUCCUGAGGCUGUUGAAAUGGCUGAUGUCAGGAUGCAGGCAACAGCGUUUCUGGCACUGCUGGGAGGUGAAAUUGCUCUUGGCAGGGGCAGCCCAGCUGUUUCUUUUAUCUCUGUUCAUGGCAAGGGGCAAGGUGGGGAAGGGAGGGAUUAAUGAAAGUUUGAAUAUUUUGGAAGCACUAUAAACAGUGUGUGUUGGGGGGGAAACAGUGACACUGUCUUGUCAGUAUGGUUCAGCUUACGUUUGCCUCUGUCUUACAAAGGGCUUGAGCCUUCCUAUACUCUGAGCUAAUGCAAAAUUGCUUGCUAGCUGUGAUGCAGCUUGCUUUUCUCUCUGGAAUAGUGGAACUGUUUCAGGACAUUAUUAGGACUGGGAAAAACUACCCAGCGUGUCAGAAGAGAAUUUAAAUCAGGCCCAGAGCAACUGGCACUUGGAUAUGACAAUUUUAUGGGAGUACUGCAAGGCAGGUAUGAUUACAGCUCAUAUAACAAGCUGAGAAGUGAGCGUAAGAAACUGUGAGCACAUUAAAGACAACAGUAGUGUGCAGUCUGGGUGCUCAUAAAGAUACAGUUCGUUCUUUCUCUUCAUAAAAAAAAAAAGACUGUUACCUGUUGGAUGCUGCUCUGGCUUCCAGUGAUACAAUUAACGGAGUUUGUUUUGGACUUGCAUAGAUGAUCUAACCAUGAAUAAUGUCUUAGAUUACAUCCUGAAAUGUCAGCAUCACUGAUGGCAGCUACCAUCUUCAGGAUGUCUUCACGGCGGCGUUCUGGAUGUGUUAUUUUUCCAGGUGGUUUCAGAUAAUAGCAGGGUAUGAAGAGCUCUGCUGUCAGUAAAAUAUCAACACAGGCAACUCUCAGCAGGUAGCUGGUAAUAAAAGAUUCUCAUGCUGGCA
rnacentral:lncRNA from 1 species